GCCGGGCAUGGUGGUGCAUGCCUGUAGUCUCAACUACUCAGUAGGCUGAAGCAGGAGGAUUGCUGGAGACAGUUUCUGGGCUGUAGUGAUCUAUGCCAAUCGAGUGUCUGCACUAAGAUUUUCCUCUCUAUGAUGACCUUCUGGGAGUGGGUACUGGCCCAGUUUGGAGACAAAACUGGUCUAAACUCCUCUGCUGAUCAAUACUGCGAUGGUGGCUGUGAAUAGUGGAUUGCCACUGCCCCCCAGCCUGUGUUACGUAACAAGAUGCCGUCUCC
rnacentral:sRNA from 1 species